rnacentral:ncRNA from 2 species
CAAUGCAAUAGAGGUUGCAACAAUCACGAAGUAAGUUGGAGUCCACGAAGACGAAGAAGGUUAUUUUAGGAUUGUUGCCGAAAUAGGUUUAAUAUUCGUGUGUUGACCUGUUGGGCUAUAGAACAAUAUUCUAUAGACUGUCCUGGUUAGUCCCCAGGGAGCGCUAUGUGAUUU